GAUGAACGCUGGCGGCGUGCCUAAUACAUGCAAGUCGAGCGAACAGAUGAGUAGCUUGCUCCUCUGACGUUAGCGGCGGAUGGGUGAGUAACACGUUGAUAACCUACCUAUAAGACUGGGAUAACUUCGGGAAACCUGAGCUAAUACCGGAUAAUAUAUUGAACCUCAUGGUUUAAUAGUGAAAGACGGUUUUGCUGUCACUUAUAGAUUGAUCCGCGCCGCAUUAGCUAGUUGGUAAGGUAACGGCUUACCAAGGCAACGAUGCGUAGCCGACCUGAGAGGGUGAUCGGCCACACUGGAACUGAGACAAGGUCCAGACUCCUACGGGAGGCAGCAGUAGGGAAUCUUCCGCAAUGGGCGAAAGCCUGACGGAGCAACGCCGCGUGAGUGAUGAAGGUCAUCGGAUCGUAAAACUCUGUUAUUAGGGAAGAACAAAUGUGUAAGUAACUAUGCACGUCUUGACGGUACCUAAUCAGAAAGCCACGGCUAACUACGUG
rnacentral:rRNA from 1 species